UACGAAGGGGGCUAGCGUUGUUCGGAAUUACUGGGCGUAAAGGGCGCGUAGGCGGCCCGAUCAGUCAGAUGUGAAAGCCCCGGGCUCAACCUGGGAACUGCAUUUGAUACUGUCGGGCUUGAGUUCCGGAGAGGAUGGUGGAAUUCCCAGUGUAGAGGUGAAAUUCGUAGAUAUUGGGAAGAACACCGGUGGCGAAGGCGGCCAUCUGGACGGACACUGACGCUGAGGCGCGAAAGCGUGGGGAGCAAACAGG
rnacentral:rRNA from 2 species